GGUGAGGCAAUAGCGGAAGAGAAUAGCAGGUAUUAGAUGUUGGAGUGGAGCAGAGAGUGAAAGGAAGAGAAAGAGAAGCGAAGAAAAAAUGCGUCUGUUCGAUCCUUGGUCUGUUUUCUUCAAGCGGGAAUGGAAGCGAAAUUGGCCCUUCCUGGUCGGAUUCGCCGUCACCGGAACUGUGAUCACCAAAUUUUCUCUUGGCCUAACUGAGGAGGACGCCAAAAAUUCAAAAUUCGUCCAGGCACACAAGAGGUAACGCUCCUCCCACCAAACCCUAGAUUUUUUCUCACACGUUUUGCCCUUUUUUAUUUUCUUCUUUUUAUACAAAUGCGCUUCUCGUGUAUUCGAUUUUUGAUAUUUAAUUUUAACUCGUUGGAGUUCAAUGCACAUAUCUGAUGCAAUAUACCAGAUUCUUCGUGUGCCGGAAAUUGGACAUUCUAGUUUUUUAGCUAUAAUUUUUUUCCCGACCAAUCAGUUUGGUAAAAAUGUUCAUGAAUUCUGGUAAAAUGAGAGCAUCUGUGGUUUAAAGUAUGCAUAAUCUGGCCCACGCAGUCAUGAUAUUUGUUCAAUUGACGUGGUUGAUUUGAUAUAAAACACGUUAUGAACUAUUACAGCAGUUCAAAGCUUCUCAUACUCAUUUUCAUCCUCUUUCUUAGUCCCAUUUCUUUAUAUGUUGCAUUACUGUCUAUCCUCUGCUCAUUACUGUCUAUCCUCUGCUUUAGUUUCAUUGAUGUGGCUCUGUUGAUGUACUAAAAGUGUGAUGGCCCUUAAACUUGACUGUCAUUCAAAAUUCAAAUCUUAUAUUGUGGAUGUGCCUAAGUGUAUGCAAUUUUCAAGUUGAUGGAUGUGAAUUAUUUAAUGCGCGGUUUAUUUAAUGAGUUGUUACUGAAACAUGAUUCCGGUGAAGAUCAAAGUGUGAUAUUAUAUUUUUUUGAAAGAUCAUGAGGUGUUUUAGGUUUGGAAUUUCAGGCGAUGAUCUAAGAAUUAAUUUCAAUAAUAUGAAUGGUUUUUCAUGAUAUUGGGUUUGCUUAGUUGUUGCUAACCUUACCGAGGAACCGAAUGUUAAACAUCUCUACAAAUAUUUUUUAUCUUAUUUUGCAAUGGACUUUGAUGUUUGAACCACUUCUUGCAAUCUUGGCAAUUGUUUGUCGUGUUAUCUCUUAAUCAUAUUCACACAUAAAUUUGUAGAUUCAAUUAAUAGGAUGCCAUGCUAUACCUAUCUUUUCAGGUGACUUUGGAAUGGAAGAUUUGCACAUUGUAUUGGAUGUGUUCAGUGAGCUUUGUUUGUUUUAGUUUUACAAAUUGUAAUAAAAGAGAUGUUGCACACUCUCUCCGUGUUCCUAUUUUCAUUUUGGUUGUUUACUUAAACGUGCUUGAGUAGUUCAUAACAAGCAGUUCUGAUGAAUGGAUGCACUCUAUGAUUACUUUAAUGUGAUAAUUAUUGGGACCUUGGAGUUUUUGUUCUUACAAUGAUGCUCGAUUGCUAACACCUAAGGGAAAAUAGUUUUAUCAAUCGUGUAUGUUUUUGGGACUUUCUGUAGUUUGCUUUUCAGCAGCUUUUAAUACUAUACCGUAGUUUUCCCAAACCAUUUAUGUCAGGAGAUCAUGUUCUGAACAUACUCUGCUCUAAAAUUUUCACGAAGUCUUUGCAUGGAAAAUUUAUGCUGUUUGUAAUAUUUCCAGGUGAUUUCGGAAUGGAAGAUUUGCACCGCCUUUGCACAUCGUAUUAGAUGUCUGAAGAGAGCUUUUCUUGUUUAAGUUUUACAAAUUGUAAUAAAUGAAGACGUUGUAUA
rnacentral:sRNA from 1 species